rnacentral:rRNA from 1 species
UACGUAGGGUGCAAGCGUUGUCCGGAAUUAUUGGGCGUAAAGAGCUCGUAGGCGGUUUGUUGCGUCGGCUGUGAAAUCCCGAGGCUCAACCUCGGAACUGCCUUUGAUACUGGCGAUCUUUGAGUCCGGGAGAGGUGAGUGGAACUCCGAGUGUAGAGGUGAAAUUCGUAGAUAUUCGGAAGAACACCAGUGGCGAAGGCGGCUCACUGGCCCGGUACUGACGCUCAUGUGCGAAAGCGUGGGGAGCAAACAGG